rnacentral:tRNA from 1 species
GGAGGAGUGCCCGAGUGGUUAAAGGGAGCAGACUGUAAAUCUGCCGGUGUACGCCUACAGAGGUUCGAAUCCUCUCUCCUCCACCA